ensembl:lncRNA novel transcript
GCCACUGAAAGACCUAGGCAACUUUCACUGAGAAUAGGUGGCUGUGGCCAGCUGCUUUAGGGAAAGGCACCAGGAGUUUGGCGUGUGUAGUCAAUACUACAAUGAUUACUUGAAGUCAGUGGCAGCAGUGGAUGAAUUUAUGAGAGGUAUAUGUUUCUUACAACUGAUUGAAAGCUGACUCACAUGAAGAUACAAGAUUCUCAGGCAGUAUGUCCUUCCUCGUUGGCAGCACUUUCUGCUGAACCUGCCAGUGAAAUGAAGCCUAUGACUUUCUGGGGAGGCUAGUCCUCAAUUUUUCCUGCAAAGGUUUGGUCCAGGUGGAGUUUUUCCAAAGUGUGCAAACUGCACUUCAAUUAAAGAAGUCUGCAGGGCACAUAGAGCAGAUGAACAGCAAGUGUGCUGAGACUUCUCUUGACAAGACUUUGGCAGGUGGGAAGCCCAAGUGAAAAGCAAGCAUUUGGAAACGCUAUAUGGAAGCAAAUAUUUAACACGCCAGAGGACUGGGAAAUAAUGUUGGUUUCUCAUCAUGUUUCCCAUUUUCUUGGAAUUUCUAGAAGGAAUUCCUUAUGAUUACAGAUAAUCAAAAGAAUCCAACAUAUUCAAAUCUGAGGAAUUGCGACAAUCCAAACAUUGUGCUUUUGAACAGCUGCUAAAAGGAAAGGCAGCAGUUAUUAAUUCACUAGCACCUUUUUUUUUUUCCUAAACUGAAAUACUGACUGCAUUCAUUUUGGCUAAAGUCAUUCUUGGAAGCUUAAAAAAUUCCCAGUAAGAGUCUUUCAUUUUUGUAAGUGCAGAUGAUUUUCUGUUGGCUUUUGCUUAACUUCAGCUGACUUUCAUGUAAAUGUACUGCAGACGGGGUUAAAAUGGCCAGAUGGUUGCUGCAAAAUGCUUUUCUGACUUGAACUUCUCCUCUUCCUCACCUCUUUCAUAUGCUUCAAUCCUGAGCACUAUGGACUUGGGAGAGAAGUAUAAAUUAAUUUGAUGGAUGUUCUGGCUGCUUUAUCAGCUUAAAAACAAGGUAAUUGAAA